ACACUCAUCUCUUGGGGAUCUUGUUUAAAAACGCAGAUUCUGGUUCAGCAGGUUGGGGUAGGGCCUGAGAGUCUGCAUUUUUGACAAGCUCCCAGGGGAUGCUGAU
rnacentral:pre_miRNA from 1 species